UACGGGGGGGGUAAGCGUUGUUCGGAAUUACUGGGCGUAAAGGGCUCGUAGGCGGCCAACUAAGUCAUACGUGAAAUCCCUCAGCUUAACUGGGGAACUGCGUGUGAUACUGGAUGGCUUGGAUUUGGGAGAGGGAUGGCGGAAUUCCAGGUGUAGCGGUGAAAUGCGUAGAUAAUCUGGAGGAACACCGGUGGCGAAGGCGGCAUCCUGGACCAAUAUUGACGCUGAGGAGCGAAAGCCAGGGGAGCAAACGGG
rnacentral:rRNA from 1 species